rnacentral:rRNA from 1 species
CACGGAGGCCCCGAGCGUUGUUCGGAAUUACUGGGCGUAAAGAGUGCGUAGGCGGCGAGGCAAGUCAGAUGUGAAAGCCCGGGGCUCAACCCCCGGAAUUGCAUCCGAAACUGCCUUGCUUGAGGGUUGGAGAGGAGACUGGAAUUCACGGUGUAGCAGUGAAAUGCGUAGAGAUCGUAAGGAAGACCAGUGGCGAAGGCGAGUCUCUGGGAAAGCUGCUGACGCUGAGGCACGAAGGCCAGGGGAGCAAACGGG